GAUCUGAUGAUGAGGGCAACUAGCACACAAUCUCUUAAACCUCUCCCAAUACUCAUACAAGCUCUCACCAUGUUGCUGCCUAAUUCUAGAUAUGUCCUUUCCGAUUGC
rnacentral:snoRNA from 1 species